CACGUAGGGGACGAGCGUUGUCCGGAUUCAUUGGGCGUAAAGCGCGCGUAGGCGGCUCGGAAAGUCGGACGUGAAAUCCCCUGGCUCAACCAGGGAACUGCGUCCGAUACUGAUUGGCUUGAAUCCGGGAGAGGGAUGUGGAAUUCCAGGUGUAGCGGUGAAAUGCGUAGAUAUCCGGAGGAACACCGGUGGCGAAGGCGGCUUCCUGGACCGACACUGACGCUGAGGCGCGAAAGCUAGGGGAGCAAACGGG
rnacentral:rRNA from 1 species